rnacentral:rRNA from 1 species
CAGUAGCCGCGGGAAUACGUAGGGUGCGAGUGUUAAUCGGAAUUACUGGGCGUAAAGCGUGCGCAGGCGGUUUUGUAAGACAGGCGUGAAAUCCCCGGGCUCAACCUGGGAAUGGCGCUUGUGACUGCAAAGCUAGAGUGCGGCAGAGGGGGAUGGAAUUCCGCGUGUAGCAGUGGAAUGCGUAGAUAUGCGGAGGAACACCGAUGGCGAAGGCAAUCCCCUGGGCCUGCACUGACGCUCAUGCACGAAAGCGUGGGGAGCAAACAGGAUUAGAUACCCCUGUAGUCCCUGUCUCUUAUAC